rnacentral:tRNA from 1 species
GGUUGUGUAGUGUAGUGGUUAUCACUGUAGGUCCUCAGAGAAGCGAUCUCGCGUCCAUCACGUACUGACUCCCUUCGAGCCGGAUUUUGAUCGCUAGCCGUCAAAUGUCUUCCGGCAACCCCGAUUCGAGCCCGGGCACGACCU